AUUGAACGCUGGCGGGAGGCCUAACACAUGCAAGUCGAACGAGUGGCGGACGGGUGAGUAAUGUCUGGGAAACUGCCCGAUGGAGGGGGAUAACUACUGGAACCGGUAGCUAAUACCGCAUACCAUCGGAUGUGCCCAGAUGGGGUUAGCUAGUAGGGUGGGUAACGGCUCACCUAGGCGACGAUCCCUAACUGGUCUGUGAGGAUGACCAGCCACACGGGAACUAAUACACGGCCCAGACUCCUACGGGAGGCAGCAGUGGGGAAUAUUGCACAAUGGGCGCAAGCCUGAUGCAGCCAUGCCGAGUGUAUGAAGAAGGCCUUCGGGUUGUAAAGUACUUUCAGCGAGGAGGCGUUACUCGCAGAAGAAGCAUCGGCUAACUCCGUGCCAGCAGCCGCGGUAAUUC
rnacentral:rRNA from 1 species